UACGUAGGCAGCAAGCGUUGUUCGGAAUUACUGGGCGUAAAGAGUGUGUAGGCGGUGCUGCAAGUCUGGUGUGAAAUCUCCCGGCUCAACUGGGAGGGUGCGCCGGAAACUGCAGUGCUAGAGGGUGGGAGAGGUAAGCGGAAUUCCUGGUGUAGCGGUGAAAUGCGUAGAUAUCAGGAGGAACACCUGUGGUGUAGACAGCUUACUGGACCACUACUGACGCUGAGGAGCGAAAGCCAGGGGAGCAAACGGG
rnacentral:rRNA from 1 species